AUUAAGGUCGCUCCAUUUAGAGCCACCAGCAUUUUUGCAGUGGAAGUGUUCUUGGUGAGAAACUUGCCCGGGGAUAUGCUUACAAGGGAGGCUUGGAUUAACACUCCUAGACAAUAUGAGCUUUUGUUUAGCUCCCCAACCUUCUCUGCAGCCAGUCACUUGCAUCUUUAAAUGUGGAUUUUCAGUUUUGCAUCAACAAUCAUGAUAGGAAACUCAUUCUUUGCAAUAGCAAUGGGCAUACAAGGUAAUUCGCAUUUCUCUCCAUGUAGAUGGUUACCGUAUAACUGGUAAAAAGAUCAAAAAACUGCAUUGAGGGAGUACAGAAUAAUUCUUUAUGAAUAACCAAAGCACUUUUAUCCAUUGAAUGUUGGAGCCAGAUAACAUGAUUGUGUGCUCAUCUGGGACAUGUGUAAUGCUCAUUUCUCUCUAGCAUUUAGAGGGUUACCACAUGUUUCAACCAGUUGUCAUGGUCACCAGAUUUGACGUGCUUGAAAAAGAUUGGAUGAAACUACGGAUUAGCCUGGGAAAGUGGCUUUUUAGCUGUUGAACAGACUCUUGGUGUGAUGGGCAUUUCUCUCCAGCAUGUAGAGGGUUACCGUUACGUUCACCACAUUUUACAUACCUGUAAACGGUUGGCUAAAGCUGCAUUGCAGAGCCAAACUAGAAUGCUCAUCAGAAGAGACUAAAGUGCGAGGGGCAUUUCUCUCCAGCAUGUAGAGGGUUACCGUUAUGUUCACCAUAUUUUACAUACCUGUAAACGGUUGGCUAAAGCUGCAUUGCAGAGCCAAACUAGAAUGCUCAUCAGAAGAGACUAAAGUGCGAGGGGCAUUUCGCUCCAUCAUGUAGAGGGUUACCGUUAUGUUCACCAUAUUUUACAGACCUGUAAACGGUUGGCUAAAGCUGCAUUGCAGAGCCAAACUAGAAUGCUCAUCAGAAGAGACUAUAGUGUGACGGGCAUUUCUUUCCAACAUGUAGAGGGUUACUGUUGAGUUGAUAUUUUACAUACCUGUAAACGGUUGGAUAAAGCUGCAUUGCAGAGCCAAACUGGUAUGCUCAUCAGAAGAGACUAAAGUGUGAUGGGCAAUUCUCUCCAGCAUGUAGAGGGUUACUGUUCACCAUAUUUUACAUACCUGUAAACGGUUGGAUAAAGCUGCAUUGCAGAGCCAAACUAGAAUGCUCAUCAGAAGAGACUAAAGUGUAAUGCAUAUAUUUCCAUCAUUUAAGGAUAUCUGCAGUAAUUGGUCGGCAUGGUCACCAGAUUUUACAAGCUUAUGCAAGAUACAAUAAAACUGCAUUGGCAAAGUAUCAGAUCAAAAAACUGCAUUGAGGGAGUACAGAAUUCUUUAUGAAUAACCAAAGCACUUUUAUCCAUUGAAUGUUGGGACAUAGGACCCUAGACACACAAUGUUAUACAAUUCCUGUCACUCCUCUCCAUGAAGUUGUUGUUCUUUGCCUGGUUCUGUGAAGUCUACGCAUUCAGCUCCCACUUUGUCACAAAUUGAUUUGGGACAAUCUCCUAAAGUUUUUCACUGUUAUUAUAUUAAAUGCUUCAUUACUUUUU